rnacentral:rRNA from 1 species
GACGAACGCUGGCGGCGUGCUUAACACAUGCAAGUCGAACGGUGAAGCGCCUUCCUUUUUGGUGGGUGUGGAUGAGUGGCGAACGGGUGAGUAACACGUGAGUAACCUGCCCCCUUCUUCUGGAUAACCGCAUGAAAGUGUGGCUAAUACGGGAUAUUCUGGGUCUGUCGCAUGAUGGGUCUGGGAAAGAUAUUGUUUCGGUGGGGGAUGGGCUCGCGGCCUAUCAGCUUGUUGGUGGGGUGAUGGCCUACCAAGGCGGUGACGGGUAGCCGGCCUGAGAGGGUGGACGGUCACACUGGGACUGAGACACGGCCCAGACUCCUACGGGAGGCAGCAGUGAGGAAUAUUGCACAAUGGGCGCAAGCCUGAUGCAGCGACGCCGCGUGAGGGAUGGAGGCCUUCGGGUUGUGAACCUCUUUCGCCAGUGAAGCAGGCCUGCCUCGUUUGUGGGUGGGUUGACGGUAGCUGGAGAAGAAGCGCCGGCUAACUACGUG